rnacentral:rRNA from 1 species
UGGUAAUGCCGGAUGCUCCAUUUGAUUGCAUGGUGUUCUGGGAAAGCCUUUGCGGCAUGGGAUGGGGUCGCGUCCUAUCAGCUUGAUGGCGGGGUAACGGCCCACCAUGGCUUCGACGGGUAGCCGGCCUGAGAGGGCGACCGGCCACAUUGGGACUGAGAUACGGCCCAGACUCCUACGGGAGGCAGCAGUGGGGAAUAUUGCACAAUGGGCGCAAGCCUGAUGCAGCGACGCCGCGUGAGGGAUGGAGGCCUUCGGGUUGUAAACCUCUUUUGUUAGGGAGCAAGGCAUUUUGUGUUGAGUGUACCUUUCGAAUAAGCACCGGCUAACUACGUGCCAGCAGCCGCGGUAAUACGUAGGGUGCAAGCGUUAUCCGGAAUUAUUGGGCGUAAAGGGCUCGUAGGCGGUUCGUCGCGUCCGGUGUGAAAGUCCAUCGCUUAACGGUGGAUCCGCGCCGGGUACGGGCGGGCUUGAGUGCGGUAGGGGAGACUGGAAUUCCCGGUGUAACGGUGGAAUGUGUAGAUAUCGGAAAAAGAACACCA